rnacentral:rRNA from 1 species
CCUACGGGGGGCAGCAGUGAGGAAUAUUGGUCAAUGGGCGUAAGCCUGAACCAGCCAAGUCGCGUGAGGGAUGAAGGUUCUAUGGAUCGUAAACCUCUUUUAUAAGGGAAUAAAGUGCGGGACGUGUCCCGUUUUGUAUGUACCUUAUGAAUAAGGAUCGGCUAACCUCGUGCCAGCAGCCGAGGUAAUACGGAGGAUCCGAGCGUUAUCCGGAUUUAUUGGGUUUAAAGGGUGCGUAGGCGGGCUUUUAAGUCAGCGGGGAAAGUCUGUGGCUCAACCAUAGAAUUGCCGUUGAAACUGGGCAGCUUGAGUAUGUGUGAGGCAGGCGGAAUGCGAGGUGUAGCGGUGAAAUGCUUAGAUA